GGCUCAGGAUGAACGCUAGCUACAGGCUUAACACAUGCAAGUUGCGGGGUAACAUCUGGUAGAGCUUGCUCUUCCAGGAUGACGACCGGCGCACGGGUGAGUAACGCGUAUCCAACCUGGCCCAUACCACGGGAUAGCCCGUCGAAAGGCGGAUUAAUACCGUAUGCUGUCAUUAAGAUGCAUAUAUUGAUGACGAAAGGACUGGCGGUAUGGGAUGGGGAUGCGUCUGAUUAGCUUGUUGGCGGGUAACGGCCCACCAAGGCGACGAUCAGUAGGGGUUCUGAGAGGAAGGUCCCCCACAUUGGAACUGAGACACGGUCCAAACUCCUACGGGAGGCAACAGUGAGGAAUAUUGGUCAAUGGGCGCAAGCCUGAACCAGCCAAGUAGCGUGAGGGAAGACUGCCCUACGGGUUGUAAACCUCUUUUGUUUGGGAAUAAAGUGCGGGACGUGUCCCGCAUUGCAUGUACCAUUUGAAUAAGGACCGGCUAAUUCCGUG
rnacentral:rRNA from 1 species